rnacentral:rRNA from 1 species
CUUUACUGUAGCUUUACAUUGGACUUUGAACAGAUCUGUGUAGGAUAGGUGGGAGGCUUUGAAGCGGUGCCGCUAGGUAUCGUGGAGCCAACGUUGAAAUACCACCCUGGUGUGUUCGAGGUUCUAACCUUGGCCCGUUAUCCGGGUUGGGGACAGUGUAUGGUAGGCAGUUUGACUGGGGCGGUCUCCUCCCAAAGCGUAACGGAGGAGUUCGAAGGUACGCUAGGCACGGUCGGAAAUCGUGCUGAUAGUGCAUAUGCAUAAGCGUGCUUGACUGCGAGACUGACAAGUCGAGCAGGUACGAAAGUAGGACUAAGUGAUCCGGUGGUUCUGUAUGGAAGGGCCAUCGAUCAACGGAUAAAAGGUA